rnacentral:misc_RNA from 1 species
GAAAUGCGAUAAGUAGUGUGAAUUGCAGAAUUCAGUGAAUCAUCGAAUCUUUGAACGCACAUUGCGACCCUUGGUAUUCCAUGGGGCAUGCCUGUUCGAGCGUCAUUUGUACCCUCAAGCUUUGCUUGGUGUUGGGCGUCUUGUCCUCUUCUGGAGGACUCGCCUCAUCACAAUUGGCAGCUCAGUCCGCAUCGAUGAAGAACGCAGCACAAGUCGCACUUCUUUCCAUGAAUGUUGGCAUCCAUCAAGACCAUUUUUUCACUCUUGACCUCGGAUCAGGUAGGACUACCCGCUGAACUUAA